CAGUCGCCGCGGGAAUACGGAGGGUGCAAGCGUUAAUCGGAAUUACUGGGCGUAAAGCGCACGCAGGCGGUCUGUCAAGUCGGAUGUGAAAUCCCCGGGCUCAACCUGGGAACUGCAUUCGAUACUGGCAGGCUAGAGUCUUGUAGAGGGGGGUAGAAUUCCAGGUGUAGCGGUGAAAUGCGUAGAGAUCUGGAGGAAUACCGGUGGCGAAGGCGGCCCCCUGGACAAAGACUGACGCUCAGGUGCGAAAGCGUGGGGAGCAAACAGGAUUAGAUACCCCAGUAGUCCCUGUCUCUUAUAC
rnacentral:rRNA from 1 species